rnacentral:sRNA from 1 species
UCCACUUGUGCAAACCACAAUGCCGGUUC